rnacentral:lncRNA from 1 species
UAAGCAGAUUUGCCUAGGCACCCUGUCGGGUCAUAUUUGUCUCUUUUUUUUUUUUGUUUCAGGAGUCCUUAAUUCCCCUCAGCACUGUUUGAGGUGAGCAACUACAACUACACAAGACAAAGACGAAAGACUUUUUCAGCUCAAAAAUCCUGUGAUUCUUUGAUUCUAAGAAGAGAUUUUCUGACAAGGAGUUUGCCUAAGAGUCCACCCGGCUUGUGUCUCCUGCCAGUUGCCGGCCUGCCGGCAUGUGGGCUGCCUGUGGAGAAGGGCCUGUGUUGUGAAUGAUGUCUGCAGGGCAUGGGGUUGACUUUGAAGAAGGUGUGAUCCUAAGUUGUGUUUGACCUGAGCUCCUGUCACCCCUGAAGGCAGCAGAGGAUGUCCUGUCGGUGACCCAGGAGGACGGCUUCCUGAGCCCAUUGCACAGAA